rnacentral:piRNA from 1 species
GAUCGGUGAGAGGCUCUGGGCUG